rnacentral:rRNA from 1 species
UACGUAGGGUGCGAGCGUUAAUCGGAAUUACUGGGCGUAAAGCGUGCGCAGGCGGUUUUGUAAGUCAGAUGUGAAAUCCCCGGGCUUAACCUGGGAACUGCGUUUGAAACUACAAGGCUAGAGUGUAGCAGAGGGGGGUGGAAUUCCACGUGUAGCAGUGAAAUGCGUAGAGAUGUGGAGGAACACCGAUGGCGAAGGCAGCCCCCUGGGUUAACACUGACGCCCAGGCACGAAAGCGUGGGGAGCAAACAGG